GGCUCCUUCAACCCCUGAGAUCUUAAACAAAAUCUCUGGCUUUUCUUCUGACCUGGGAAGGAGGAACUCCGGCUGCGGUGGCCGUGUGCUGUGAACAGAAAGAACCCGGUGACAAGGGGGUAGGGGGGAGGCAGCUGAUGCUGUGGUUCUGGGAACAAACUGGCCUCUUCAGCCUGGGCUCAUGUUAGAAUUUUGUUCCCCCUGGCUUGUUGGAAGGAGCAGAUGGCCCAGCAUGGGACUAAUGUGAUCCAUAAUGCAAGGAAUGAGGAAACAUGUAGCUCAGGCUAGCCUGUAACUCACUAUGUAGUAACUCCUGAUCCUUCUGCCUCCUCGUGCCAAGUGCUGGUACACCAGGCAUGUGCUGCCACCCAGCGAGGCCAGCAGUCUACCAACUGAGCUAACUGCCAGCUGCCGCCCUUCCAAGCCCAAGCCCGGAAGAUGUGAGUAGCUCGGGGUGAGAUUUCUGACCCACAACACCUCCCAUCCCAGCACUGGAGACUGAAGCAUGGAUUCUGAGGCCAGCCUGGGCUACCAAAGAAGACUGUGUUUUAAAAAGAAAAAGAAAAAAAGAAAAUUAAAAUGGACGAACCCUCAAGUGCUUAGAGAGUGGCAGGGGGCCUACUGGGCUCUGCCCACUGCUACAAUGCUUCCUCUUUGAGGUCACUAGGCUACUACCCAGUCGUUGAAGAGGAGUAUAGCUCUGACACCAUGCCAGCGGUUUAAACUGGAUACAGGAGAACUCGCAUGUAAGAUCCACUUCCAGAAGGUCCCAAGAGCACAGAGAUGGGGUGGGAAGUGAAUGGGGACCUCGAACCCUUGUCCCCAUCCAGGGGUGGGAGGGGAUUAGUGUAGGACGGGAGCAGGGCAUCUUAGUGCAUUAUGGAAAGCUCUGAAGUGGGGGAGUCCAGUGACUGCUCUGCUGUCCACAGCCAUGGGCUAGGACAGAUAAGGUGGGGACAGGCCAGUGAGAGAAACAAGGGAGACCAGCACACAAGGGCCUCAUACCUGGUUCCUCCAGGCCUGGCAGUCCUGUGGUUGUAUCUGUGUGUGGCCAAGCCAGUGAGACUUAGGGAUAACCUGAGACCCUGGGCAUGGCUGGCAUUGUUUACAUGAAUGUGAAUUCUGGGGGUCGCCCUGUUUGUGCUCUGAGCUGAGUAAGGCUCUCAAUAUAAACGAGGGAGAGAGGGCCCAGCAAGAUGGCUCAGCAGGUAAAGGUGCUUGCAGCCAGGUCUUGAUGACCCAAGUUCAAUUCCCAUUUGAUGGAAAGAGAACUGACUCCACUCAAGUGAUCUCCACAUGUGUAUGGAUGCAUUCACAACAGAUAAAUAAUAGCUAAUAAUAGCUAAUAAAGUCUUGUUUUCUUUUUUCUUUCUUUUCUUUCUUUCUUUUUUCUUUCUUUCUUUCUUUCUUUCUUUCUUUCUAUCUCUCUCCCCUCUCUCUCUGUCUCUCUCUCUCUCUUUUUGGUUUUUCGAGACAGGGUUUCUCUGUGUAGCCCUGGCUGUCCUGGAACUCAUUCUGUAGACCAGGCUGGCCUUGAACUCAGAAAUCCGACUGCCUCUGACCCCCAAAUGCUGUGAUUAAAGGCGUGUGCCACCACUGCCCAGCUCUUUUUCUCAUUAUUAACUACCCACCAUUAAAAGUGCUGAAGAUUGAGUUCAUGGACCAACUACAUGUCAGAAAAUGUUUCUACAAGCAAUCCACACUCCCAUGAUGAAUACAAGGUUGCCGGAGUCCUGUAGCUUGAUAUGGAAAUUAGGGGUCUGGUUUUGCAUAUGUAGCAUCAAGGACUAGAAAGACUGGGAUCUGAACACAGGGCUGACUCUAGAGACCUCGUCUGAGAGUCAGGUCUUUGCGUAUGUAUGGGGGUGCAUAUGCACCCCUGCCUACUAAGAGGUCAUAGGACCACUUGUGUGUGAGUCAUGUUUCCUUCCACCACACGGGUCGUAGAGAUCCAGUUCAGGUUGUCAGGCUGGGGAGCAAACCCCGAGCUUGCUGGUGCAGGCAGGCCGGUUGGCCUGUGAAUCCCAAGGUCUGGUCUCUAUCUCCCUAGGUUUUUACAGAUUGGCCCAGCUUUGCCAGGCAGGUCACACGGGUGCCAGGGAUCCGAACUCAGGUCUUCACACUUGUCUGCCAGCACUACCCACCCCUGUCACCUGUGCCUAUGUCCAAAGGUGGAGUUGAGUCUAUGAGUCUCCAGAUCCGUGGCCCUGUCAGGAGACUACACACACUCACCUCUCCCUCUUGGCUCGGAGUCUCUGCUCUUCAUAUCUGAGAGAGAGAGAGGCAGGUUCAGUGAGUGGGAAGGGUGGGACCCUGCCCCAAGCUGUCAGGGCCACAGAGGCCAGGCAAAGGGGACUGGGGAUACAGAUGGGGACUGAACUUCAGAGUGGGGUUGGCUGAACUGAGUAUUGAGAUGAGGUUUCAGUGGUCAGUUUUCUGUAAUAUGUAACUUUUAACUUGAUUUAUUUAAGGUUUAUUUAACUAUAUUAAAUUGAGUGUGCUUAGAGUGCAGUUCCCACAGUGGCCAGAAGGGGCAUCAGGUGCCCAGGAGCUGGAGUUCCAGGUGUUGUGAGCCACUGUGUGGGUGCUGGGAACCGAACCCCUGUCUUCUGAAGGAGGAGCGGGUGUGAUAACCACUGAGCUGUCAUUCCCUGACAUAGUCACUCCCAAACUCAGGGACGCUAAGGCCGGAGGGGCACUUACUGCAGGACACAGUCUGGCAGCUGCACGUGUUCCAUGGGAAUCAGUCGCUCCAGCUCUUCCAGGCUGUGCACGUACUGAAUUUUACUGAUGAACUUGACACUGAGGGAGACAACAGGGUAGACAAGGGGUCAUCAGACAGAGCCAGACUCUGCCCCACCUAGCCUGCCAAGUUGCCCAUGCUGGCCUCGAACCCACUAUCCUCUUGUCUCAGCUUUCUCCCCAGACUUUUCUCAUGGAUUGUCCCAGUGGCCUUUGUGAACUAUGAUGAACAACAAACAUGUCAGACGUGGUUUUUUAGAAUUUUUUUUUACAUUUAUUCAUGGUGUGUGCAUAAAUAAAAGUCAAGAGAAGAGC
ensembl:antisense Atcayos ataxia, cerebellar, Cayman type, opposite strand